rnacentral:rRNA from 1 species
AUUAAACGCUGGCGGCAUGCCUUACACAUGCAAGUCGAACGGCAGCACGGGGGCAACCCUGGUGGCGAGUGGCGAACGGGUGAGUAAAGCAUCGGAACGUGCCCUGGAGUGGGGGAUAACGUAGCGAAAGUUACGCUAAUACCGCAUAUUCUGUGAGCAGGAAAGCAGGGGAUCGCAAGACCUUGCGCUUUGGGAGCGGCCGAUGUCGGAUUAGCUAGUUGGUGGGGUAAAGGCCUACCAAGGCGACGAUCCGUAGCGGGUCUGAGAGGAUGAUCCGCCACACUGGGACUGAGACACGGCCCAGACUCCUACGGGAGGCAGCAGUGGGGAAUUUUGGACAAUGGGCGCAAGCCUGAUCCAGCCAUGCCGCGUGAGUGAAGAAGGCCUUCGGUUGUAAG